rnacentral:sRNA from 1 species
CCACCGUGCAUGUUGUUUUGAUAUUUUAUGAUAUUAAUUUACGCCUCUACUAGAUGGUCACAUGUAUGUCUUUUGACUACACGUAACACGACUUUC